CUGGUUUUUUCAGCAGGGCACAAGGCGUUCGGAUGAAGAAAAAAGAGGAUAAAGGAGCUUAGUUGGAUCAGAUCGAAAUUCAUCAGCAGUCAAGUGAUCGCGGUCGAGCUUACAAUCGGGGCUUUUCCAUCACUUCUUAUGGGAAUCGGAGUUGACUAGCUGAAGCGAUUUUCUCUCAAUCCAGGCCGACGAGACACCGAUAUUGCCACACAGUGUCCACUUGUGCUUCUGCUACAUUGAUGCCAAAAGCAACGUACAGGAGAGUUUUUUUUCUUUUUUUGUUAAGUUUAUUCCUCUGGGUUCAACUACAGCUGAAUCGAUCACUACAGCACUAAAAGAGCUUCUUGCUGUCAUCCUUCCAGAGGAUCAGAAGAAUAAACUCAUCUCCCAAGCGUAUGAUAGAGUCAGCGUGAUGAGGGCUGCCACUGCAGGUGAUCAUAGUAAGAUGCAAGAUGUGGACCCAAAUGCCCAUUACAUCCACUGCUAUGCACAUCAACUCAAUCUGAUCAUGCAACAGGCCACUUCUCACAUACCCAAAGUGAGAUUUCAAGUUUUCUGCAACUUUUCCACAACAUCAUGUCACAUGUGGACCUCCUCUAUGCCAAACUCCAGAAGAAGGACAUAGAUUCAGUUCACAUUAAGAGGAGCAUCCAGCAGUUCCAGCAGGACAUACAGAAGAUCAGAAAUUCUCUCCAUUCCCUGGUUGACCAAAGCAGUGAAGGUGGUUCUCAACCGAAGAGGUGGCGGUCACUCAGUCCAGAGGUCCAUGAACGGAUCGCAGCAGAGGUAAGUUUUUGUUUGCAGUCCAUGUUAAUCUGCAGGAUUUCAUAGAAAGCUAUCAGGGGAAACUAUCAGAAAGAAAAGUUCAACUGCAUUGAUUCAUUUACCCUCCACGGGCACUUGUUAAUAUCUUCUCACGUCUUUGAUGAUUUUAUAAUAUUUUUGCUUAAAUAUUGUAGCAAAGAAUAGAUCCUUAAGUUAAAGACAUAUCUAAAUAAUAUAAAUACUAAUAAUAAUACAAAAUUUCUCCCCUGCAGGGUGGCCGCAGGUCCUUAAAAAGUCAUAAAUGUAACUUGUUUAUAUCUGUAGAUACGCUGUGAUAUAUGUAUGUGGGAUUAAUGUGAGGAGUAUAUCUUACUGAAAUAUUUAAGAAAACAUAUUGUAAAGUCAUCAAAGACAUGAGAAGACAUUUACAAUUACCCAUAGAAGGUAAAUGAAACAAUACAGCUAAAUUGAACGUAAAUAUUCUAUUUAUUUAUUUUUGAUCGCUCCCUCUUAUAGAUAUUUAGAUUGGUAAUACUUUUUUUUUUUUACAGUAUAGCCAAAAGUGUCAAUAAUAAGGGUCCAAGCACAGUGGCUUUUGUAGAUGAUACAGUUAUACAAUGCCCAUGUCUCUUUUCAAAUAAUAAUCUUUAGGUGUCUCGUUUUAGAAGUAUUAUUUCAUUUAAUACAUUAAAAUUAAUCAA
ensembl:lncRNA